UCUGGUUUGAGUACUGCUUGAAACUUCUAGUUUCAUCUGUUAGUAGCUGUUUAUAAUGUUUGCAGUUCUUAAUCAGUGUUUCCCAUUGACGUGGAUCAUCUUCCAUAGACUCUCUUAUCCAGUCUUGUCUCGGUUCUAGUGUUUUCAUGUUGCUGUCAUAGUGAGCUUCUAAAAUUCCCUCAAGAUCUCCUGCUGUCAUAUAAUCUGGGGUGUUUGGAACUUCAGAACACGACAUGAAAAAGUCUUCAAGGAGUGUUUGACUGUAGGACAGACACAGUUAAUACAAUUAAAACAACAGUCUGACUGUACAUAUUUCAACAAGACGUACAGCUGUUAACUCUGACUGGAAAACUUCAUCUUGGAUCCUUUGGCAUAAUACAUCUACACUGUUAAGGUUGGAAGUCAUGCACACAAAAACCUUGAGGAGCUUUCUGUGCUGCCCCCCUGUGGUGACAGUAUCUACCCCGGACCUUUCCCUGCCUGCCUGUUUCCGUGUGGACGACUGAGUGGAUUUGUGUUUCCCCAGUGUGGGCAGUCCUGGCGUUCCAUAUGAAGAGAGAGAGCCUUUGGAGUGCGUCUGAUUCCCGUCUUUCCCCUCACAUACCCCGGAACCCUGGACCCCCCUCCCUCCAGCACGUUGCAAAUAGCAUCACCUGGUGUCGUUGUUUAAAUAAACUGAUUGUUAACUCUGUAAAGAUUCCCGGUCUGCGCCUCAGUCCGUUAACUAAAACGUGACAAGAGCAAAGGAGAGCCCCAGAUAAGGGGUCGCUCAGCAGCCGCAGAGCAGAAGUCAGGGGGGGUUGCAGUGACGUGCCCGUGAGCUCCGCCUGCAGUCAGCUGUGCCAGAGUAACCGAGCCCCAGGCCGA